GACGAACGCUGGCGGCGUGCCUAAUACAUGCAAGUAGAACGCUGAAGAGAGGAGCUUGCUCUUCUUGGAUGAGUUGCGAACGGGUGAGUAACGCGUAGGUAACCUGCCUGGUAGCGGGGGAUAACUAUUGGAAACGAUAGCUAAUACCGCAUAAAAUUGAUUAUUGCAUGAUAAUUAAUUGAAAGAUGCAAUUGCAUCACUACCAGAUGGACCUGCGUUGUAUUAGCUAGUUGGUGAGGUAACGGCUCACCAAGGCGACGAUACAUAGCCGACCUGAGAGGGUGAUCGGCCACACUGGGACUGAGACACGGCCCAGACUCCUACGGGAGGCAGCAGUAGGGAAUCUUCGGCAAUGGGGGGAACCCUGACCGAGCAACGCCGCGUGAGUGAAGAAGGUUUUCGGAUCGUAAAGCUCU
rnacentral:rRNA from 1 species